GACAGAGGGUGCAAACGUUGUUCGGAAUUACUGGGCGUAAAGCGCGUGUAGGCGGCUAAGUAAGUCGGGCGUGAAAUCCCACGGCUCAACCGUGGAAGUGCACUCGAAACUGCGUAGCUAGAGUCCUGGAGAGGAAGGUGGAAUGCUUGGUGUAGCGGUGAAAUGCGCAGAUAUCAGGAGGAACACCGAUGGCGAAGGCAGGUCUCUGGGCAUUAACUGACGCUGAGGAGCGAAAGCAUGGGGAGCGAACAGG
rnacentral:rRNA from 1 species